CGUGUAGGCGGUUUAGCAAGUCGGAUGUGAAAUCCCAGGGCCCAACCCUGGAACUGCAUCCGAUACUGUUAGGCUAGAGUCCCGGAGAGGAUGGCGGAAUUCCCGGUGUAGGGGUGAAAUCCGUAGAUAUCGGGAGGAACACCAGUGGCGAAGGCGGUCAUCUGGACGGUGACUGACGCUGAGACUCGAAAGCGUGGGUAGCAAACAGGAUUAGAUACCCUGGUAGUCC
rnacentral:rRNA from 1 species